rnacentral:rRNA from 1 species
UACGUAGGUGGCAAGCGUUGUCCGGAUUUAUUGGGCGUAAAGCGCGCGCAGGCGGUCUUUUAAGUCUGAUGUGAAAGCCCCCGGCUCAACCGGGGAGGGUCAUUGGAAACUGGGAGACUUGAGUGCAGAAGAGAAGAGUGGAAUUCCACGUGUAGCGGUGAAAUGCGUAGAGAUGUGGAGGAACACCAGUGGCGAAGGCGACUCUUUGGUCUGUAACUGACGCUGAGGCGCGAAAGCGUGGGGAGCAAACAGG